ensembl:snRNA Gm25834 predicted gene, 25834
GUUCUGGCUUCGGCAGCACAUAUAACAAAAAUUGGAAUGAUAUGAAGAUUAGCAUAGCUACUGCACAAGGAAGACAAAUUGGUGAAGUGUUCCAUAUUUUA